AAAUUGAAGAGUUUGAUCAUGGCUCAGAUUGAACGCUGGCGGCAGGCCUAACACAUGCAAGUCGAACGGUAGCACAGAGAGCUUGCUCUCGGGUGACGAGUGGCGGACGGGUGAGUAAUGUCUGGGAAACUGCCUGAUGGAGGGGGAUAACUACUGGAAACGGUGGCUAAUACCGCAUAACGUCGCAAGACCAAAGAGGGGGACCUUCGGGCCUCUUGCCAUCAGAUGUGCCCAGAUGGGAUUAGCUUGUUGGUGAGGUAACGGCUCACCAAGGCGACGAUCCCUAGCUGGUCUGAGAGGAUGACCAGCCACACUGGAACUGAGACACGGUCCAGACUCCUACGGGAGGCAGCAGUGGGGAAUAUUGC
rnacentral:rRNA from 1 species